GGAAUGGAUGUAGCUCAGUGAUAGAGCACCUGCUUUGCAUGCAGAAGAUCCUGGGUUGAAUCCUGGCAUCUCCA